rnacentral:rRNA from 1 species
UACGUAGGGGGCAAGCGUUGUCCGGAAUUAUUGGGCGUAAAGAGCGCGUAGGCGGUCCGAUAAGUCGGCUGUAAAAGUCAACGGCUCAACUGUUGAAAGCCGGUGGAUACUGUCGGGGCUAGAGUACGGAAGAGGCAAGUGGAAUUCCUGGUGUAGCGGUGGAAUGCGCAGAUAUCAGGAGGAACACCUAUAGCGAAGGCAGCUUGCUGGGACGUUACUGACGCUAAGGCGCGAAAGCGUGGGGAGCGAACAGG